rnacentral:rRNA from 1 species
ACUACGGGUGGCAGCAGUAGGGAAUCUUCCACAAUGGACGAAAGUCUGAUGGAGCAACGCCGCGUGAGUGAAGAAGGGUUUCGGCUCGUAAAACUCUUUUGGUAGUGAAGAAAGAUAGAGGUAGUAACUUGCCUUUAUUUGACGGUAAUUACUUAGAAAGUCCCGGCUCACUACGUGCCAGCAGCCGCGGUAAUACGUAGGUGGCAAUCGUUGUCCGGAUUUAUUUGGCGUAAAGAGAGUGCAGGCGGUUCAAUAAGUCUGAUGUGAAAGCCUUCGGCUCAACCGGGGAAUUGCAUCAGAAACUGGUGAACUUGAGUGCAGAAGAGGAGAGUGGAACUCCAGGUGUAGCGGUGGAAUGCGUAGAUAUAUGGAAGAACACCAGUGGCGAAGGCGGCUCUCUGGUCUGCAACUGACGCUGAGGCUCGAAAGCAUGGGUAGCGAACAGGAUUAGAUACCCUAGUAGUC